rnacentral:rRNA from 1 species
UACGAAGGGGGCUAGCGUUGCUCGGAAUUACUGGGCGUAAAGGGCGCGUAGGCGGGUCGUUAAGUUAGAGGUGAAAGCCCAGGGCUCAACCCUGGAAUUGCCUUUAAUACUGUCGACCUUGAGUAUGGCAGAGGUGUGUGGAACUCCGAGUGUAGAGGUGAAAUUCGUAGAUAUUCGGAAGAACACCAGGUGGCGAAGGCGACACACUGGGCCAUUACUGACGCUGAGGCGA